CAGACACUGGAGAAUAUAUUAUGCUAUCAGGAAUCACUGAAAUGAUGAUUUCUUAUUCAGAGGAUAUGUGAAAAGGACUGGGUGAUGUCAAAGAUGAGAAAUAAGAACCAAUAAUAAAAACCAGAGAUUUUGGGAAUCAUUGAAUGCUCUCAUUGGUAAGUGAAUGACUAUAACACUAAUUUUUUUCAGAUGUAUUUGGACUCCCUUAAGGAAGUAGAUAUGACACUCAACACUAGUCAAUUAAGUACAUCUUGCUCAGAUCUUAUAUGCAAAUGAUGCUGACCUAGACAAAUGGACCUAGAUUAACAGGCUGAAAUGAAUUUUUGAGUUGAGAGUAUGUGAGUAUAUUUAGUUGACUAAGUUGUCAUUCAGAGAGCAGAUUAUUCCUUGGCCUAGAAGCCUCUCUCUGUGUGUGUGUGUGUGUGUGUGUGUGUGUGUGUGUGUGUGGUGAAGUGGGGACAACAACCCUUGACAAAUUAUGGGUACAUUUCAUAGGCCAAAGGUCAUCACUGGAUAUACAAGUGUUCCAAUGUAUUUUUAUAAGGUAUAUUAUUUUGAUUGCAUAUAAUGAACCCCACUUAUAUCAAUUUAUGGAAAAAAAAAACAUUGGAAAGAUUCUGGGAAAGUUUUUAGAGUCCAAGAGCUAAACAUCAGCUUCAGGAAGGCAGGAAUAGGACAAUUCUGGGGUCCAUAGAUACUGAUUCAGGGUCUUGAAUAUCAAGAUGAUGGUUUUGUUUCUUGCCUUUUCCUCUGUAUUUUGUCAUGCAAAUGAACUCUUUGUCCAGGAGCAGGGGAGGGGUGUACAUGACUUCUAGCAGCUUUUAGUGCUUCUUGCAACUUAGUUAUUAGAUAGUAAAAAUCCUUUGUCCCACAUUCUGCUCCAGUUAUUAAAACACCCAGGGAAGGGCUUGGACUGGUCAGAGGUGGGUCCUGUGCCUGCCCCAAAGGGAUGUGGGUUGGGUCUCAUUGGAAACAUAUAUUUCUUUUGUUUUGAAUUUACUUUUACUCUAUGACCUUCUCCCUUCCCUUUAGCUCAAGCUUCUAAACAUGAUUCAUCCAUCAUUGGGUGACUGAGGCGAGGAGUGAGUUGUUCUGGAAUAGAGGAAAAAGGAUGAAUUUUUACUGUUAUACUUAGACAAAAAGCCACGAUCCAGACAUCAGACCACGUAUGUGGGAGAACUCUUGCUAACUUAAUUUUUAUCAGUUUUUAUAGUUGCAGUUCCAAGGGAGAGAAGAGUUGGAGAAGAAAGAAACUCCCAAGAAUGAAUGAAAGACCCGCAUGCUUUGCCUCCUGUUCUGGGCGUAGUUCCAAGCUGAGUGGUACAAGAUCAACACCCCACAGUAGGUCUGGAGAUGUGAAAUAAAAGGGGACUUUCUACCGGGUUACCUGGGUGGCAGAAUGCUUGCCAGACUAGAGGUCAUCUAAUCCAAGUUCCUCAUUAGCAGCUUGAAGACCAAAGAAAGUGCUGAGAGUCAGCGACAGAGACAUGGAUGGUUUAUGGAUAGGGGAAUCUUACCUGUAUGUUUGAAGCAAGGUCCUGGAGCGAUACCCCAUCGUGUCCGGUGGACGGCGGGCAUGAUGAGUAGGCAGCCUUAGCUCCUGAGGGGAGGGGAGGGGAGAUUACUUGUCAUUGGGAGAACUGAUGUCAGGUUUGCUCAUUGGUUACCAGGGAAACUGGCAGAGGGGCCCACCCCUCACUGCCCCUUUGAUAAGAAUGGAGAUGUUCUAAUGUAAAGCUAGAAAAAUCAUUAGCUGGGCCUGGGGCAAGUACAUAGGAAGGGCAGUCAGGUAAGUAAGAUGUAGGUGAGGCAGGCACUGGUUGAGCAGGGGAUGUACAGAAAGCAAGAGAACAGCCAUCUUGAGUGGCCUGACCACACAGUAGUAUAAGUGACUUUGUUUUAGGUGGGUAUUUAAAGAUGACAAACUAAUUCGGUUUAAAUAAAGUUAGUGAUGUAACAGUUUAGGGUUAGUGGACAUAGAGAAAGAAGGGUCAUAAAGCAAAGUCUAGAUAAAUAAACUAUGGUUGAUAAGCAAGCUGCUUUCUCAGGGGAGCUAUCUAUAGACUCCAAUAAAUUGAUCUGUGGGAGUUUCCAGAAGCAAACAGUGAAGUUAUUUAUUGGUUCACAGAUUUACUUUUUUCUCAGCAAAAUGUCUUGGAACUAACAACUAAGUCAGGCUGACAUAGGUGAUCUAGUCUCUUCUAAGUCAUAGUGACAGGGAUGGCCUCAAUUCUCUGUUCCCACUUGUUGUCAUUCUUCAGCUCAGGCUAGAGGAUAGCUGGUUAUUGUCUGGGGAAAUGAUCAGUCCACCUAUAUCACCUCCUGGAAAGUCAUGACUGCACAGCAAGUUGCUGGUGGCAGUCAUUUCAACUAUUAUACAUAUCACAUUCUCUUGCUCUUUUUGCGAGAUGAUCAUCUUGGGGGAUCCUGUGACAGGGCAGUGACUAUACAGCAGCAUUUAAGAUGCUAGAGAUCACACGUUUGAACUGUGCCAUCAGACAAAUACUAGGAGAAUAAUUAUAAUCAGAGUUUGUAGAAUUCUAAGUCCAAGAGUGCAUAAAUUAAACACAGAGAACAGAUCCCACCUUCAUUCUGAAGGUCCUACAGAACCAGAUAUGGUGGUAUUAGCCAAGUCAAUUAAUUUCAUAAUUUCUUUAUUGGUUUUUCAGAUCUUCUUAGUAAUUUUAAAGUUCUCAUAAAAGUCUGUAAAGUUGAAGGUACAACAGUGUUUUUCCCCCUCAACUGGCGUAUCGACAACCUCAGGAAGCCAAUACUCUUCCUAGGGCUGCUCUGUUUUAAAUCAUCAUAUUUCCAGUCUCAUGAACUUCUUCUCGAGAUUGUCUAGCUCCUCUGUCAAUCACUGAACCACAGCAGGAAGCAGCUUCCUCACAUUCUGUGUCUCCUUUAAAGCAUGAUAUGAAAAGUCUUGAGGACAAAAGAAAGCUAUCUAGAAUUUCCACUGAGUGAUUAAGGUUUUGAACCUCAAACUGAAGCUCAGUCUCUCUCCUCCUUGUACAGGUUAUAAAGUGAGCUCUUUUUCAAAGGAAAAAUAGGGGGCCAAAAUGGACCCUGUAUGAUAUCAUCCUGAAGACAGACAUCAUUUUACUGAGACCACUAGACCCUGUCCAGGUUGUUGAUAGUAUCCAAUAGGUUAGUUUUAUUAAUAUUAUUUUGCCAUAAAUUCAAUAUCAGACUUUAGGGUCUUUCCAAUGAUGUUGUCUUGGCUAAAAUACCUCUAUAAGGUAUCUCAGUUCUAUUGCAUGGUUUCAGCCCCAUUCAGAAAUAAUUAGGUGCUAGGCAGGAGAUUAUAAAGUGGAGACAUGAUUAAAUAGGUAAAUGGUUAGAUCUGAUAGGGAAUCAGAUUCUUUAGGUACAUAUUAAUUCUUUUUUUUGAGGUCUGUAAAUGUGACACAGGUACAGGUAAAGUAAAAGCCAUCUAUUUUCUGUUUUCUUUCUGAGCCUUAACUCUGUGAAAGUUUGGUUAUGGAGUCUAUUUAUUACAUCUAGAUCUUGGCUGUUGUUUCAAGGGAAGCAGAAGCCUUCCUUUAUGGAUAUUUUACAUUUUUGGUUAACUGGACUAUUCUGUUAUAUACUAGAUUGGACUAGAGUCCCAUUACUGAUGAGAACAAACGUGUUUUCAAAAAAGACUGAUUUUUAAGGUAACUGGUUGGCAUUCAGAGGUAAAUAUAUGCAAACCCAACAGUCAGUAUGAUUUGUACAUUUUGUUUGAAUCAUGAAAAGAUUGCAACCAGGGACUCAUACCAAUGAAUAUAUGAAGAUUCAAAAAGCAAUGUGGGAUAAAAAAACAAGGUCCUACUGUAUAGCACAGGGCACUAUAUUUCAAAACCAUGUA